rnacentral:rRNA from 1 species
GAUGAACGCUAGCGGCAGGCUUAAUACAUGCAAGUCGAGGGGCAGCGGGGGUAGCAAUACCUGCCGGCGACCGGCAAACGGGUGCGGAACACGUACACAACCUUCCUUUUGGUGGGGGAUAGCCCAGAGAAAUUUGGAUUAAUACCCCAUAGUAUGAUACCGAAGCAUUUUGGUAUUAUUAAAGAUUUAUUGCCAGAAGAUGGGUGUGCGUCUGAUUAGGUAGUUGGUAGGGGUAACGGCCCACCAAGCCAGCGAUCAGUAACUGGUGUGAGAGGAAGAUCAGCCACACUGGGACUGAGACACGGCCCAGACUCCUACGGGAGGCAGCAGUUGGGAAUCUUGGACAAUGGGGAACCCUGAUCCAGCCAUGCCGCGUGAGUGAUGAAGGCCU